rnacentral:tRNA from 1 species
GCGGACAUAGCUCAGUUGGGAGAGCGUCAGACUGAAGUCAAUUUCAAUCACUUAAUCUGAAGGUCGUGUGUUCAAUCCACACUGGCCGCA